rnacentral:rRNA from 1 species
GACGAACGCUGGCGGCGUGCUUAACACAUGCAAGUCGAACGGCAAGGCCCUUCGGGGUACACGAGUGGCGAACGGGUGAGUAACACGUGGGUGAUCUGCCCUGCACUUCGGGAUAAGCCUGGGAAACUGGGUCUAAUCUCGGAUAGGACCACUGCCUGCAUGGGUGGUGGUGGAAAGCUUUUGCGGUGUGGGAUGGGCCCGCGGCCUACCAGCUUGUUGGUGGGGUGAUGGCCUACCAAGGCGACGACGGGUGGCCGGCCUGUGAGGGUGACCGGACACACUGGGAGUGAGAUACGGCCCAGACUGCUACGGGAGGCAGCAGUGGGGAAUAUUGCACAAUGGGCGCAAGCCUGAUGCAGCGACGCCGCGUGAGGGAUGACGGCCUUCGGGUUGUAAACCUCUUUCAGCACCGACGAAGCGCAAGUGACGGUAGGUGCAGAAGAAGGACCGGCCAACUACGUGCCAGCCGCCGCCGUAAUAC